CCUACGGGUGGCUGCAGUGAGGAAUAUUGGUCAAUGGACGAGAGUCUGAACCAGCUAAGUAGCGUGAAGGAUGACUGCCCUAUGGGUGUUAAACUUCUUUUUUAUGGGAAUAAAGUGUCCCACGUAUGGGUUUUUGUGUGUACCAUAUGAAUAAGGAUCGGCUAACUCCGUGCCAGCAGCCGCGGUAAUACGGAGGAUCCGAGCGUUAUCCGGAUUGAUUGGGUUUAAAGGGAGCGUAGGUGGAUGGUUAAGUCAGUUGUGAAAGUUUGCGGCUCAACCGUAGAAUUGCAGUUGAAACUGGCAGGCUUGAGUACAGUAGAGGUGGGCGGAAUUCGUGGUGUAGCGGUGAAAUGCGUAGAUAUCACGAAGAACUCCGAUUGCGAAGGCAGCUCACUGGACUGCAACUGACACUGAGGCUCGAAAGUGUGGGGAGCAAACAGGAUUAGAUACCCGAGUAGUC
rnacentral:rRNA from 1 species